rnacentral:rRNA from 1 species
GACGAACGCUGGCGGCGUGCCUAAUACAUGCAAGUCGAGCGGACAGAAGGGAGCUUGCUCCCGGAAGUUAGCGGCGGACGGGUGAGUAACACGUGGGCAACUUACGCUGUAGAACGGGAUAACAUCGAGAAAUAGGUGCUAAUACCGGAAAAUCAUUUGCAGUGCAUGCUUAGAAUGUAAAAGAGUGCUCAGGCUAUCACUACGGUAUGGGCCGGCGGCGGAUUAGCUAGUUGGUAAGGUAAUGGCUUAACAAGGCAACGAUGCGUAGCCGACCCGAGAGGGUGAUCGGCCACACUGGGACUGAGACACGGCCCAGACUCCUACAGGGGGCAACAGUGGGGAAUAUUAGACAAUGGGCGCAAGCCUGAUACAGCCAUACCGCGUAGGUGAAGAAGGCCUUCGGGUUGUAAGGCCCUUUUGUUGGGAAAGAAAUCCAGCUGGCUAAUGCCCGAUUGGGAUGACGGUACCCAAAGAAUAAGCACCGGCUAACUUCGUGCCAGCAGCCGCCGUAACAC